rnacentral:lncRNA from 1 species
UUUAGUGGAGUUUGAUUCUGUGGAAAACUAACUCGAUUUCGGUCAUUUCGGUACCAGUUUGGUGAAUUAUGGAUCCAAAUGGAAUUCUGUGCGAAGUUUUGAAGUUGUGACUCGAAAGCAGAUUUUGUGCAGAAUAUUUGGGGGACAUACAUUCACUAAAACGCUAAUUAAUCUCUCUUUGAAACUCCAAAUUUAGUGGGGUUUGAUUCUGUAGAAAGAUAACUCGAUUACGAUCAUUUCAAUAUCCGUUUGGUGAAUUAUUGAUCCAAAUUGAGUUCUGUGCGAAGCUUUGAAGUUGUGACUUGAAAGCAGAAUUUUAGGGGG